rnacentral:rRNA from 1 species
UACGGGGGGGGCAAGCGUUGUUCGGAAUUACUGGGCGUAAAGGGCUCGUAGGCGGCCAACUAAGUCGGACGUGAAAUCCCUCGGCUUAACCGGGGAAUGGCGUCCGAUACUGGAUGGCUUGAGUCCGGGAGAGGGAUGCGGAAUUCCAGGUGUAGCGGUGAAAUGCGUAGAUAUCUGGAGGAACACCGGUGGCGAAGGCGGCAUCCUGGACCGGCACUGACGCUGAGGAGUGAAAGCCAGGGGAGCAAACGGG